UAACCGUAGGUUCCAAGUUUUUAGACUUUCGGCUCCUCCUCAAAUAUCCUUCGCCUUUAAACCCCACCUGCCAGUGGGCACCUAAUGCCUUGUCCAAAUAUAAAAACAAAAUAAAAUCCCAAAACUGACAGCCUCACUGGUGGCGUAAUCCUAGCUGUCAAAACUGAGCCAAGUUGUUAUUAUAAUAACACACGUUACUGGGCCGUGUCGUUUAUUUGCAGCGGUUUGAGCUACCAGUCUAUAAAAAAUAGUCUCUAUAGAAAUUGUCGGCCUAAUUAGAUCCCUGCGAGGAAGGGUUGCCAACUAUUACAAACCGAGUUGUCAAACUUCGUAAAAGUUAUCAAACUUCGGAUAUUCUCUGCGAUUUAGCCUUAAACGUUAAUCAUCAAGGAAUUAUCAAUUUCAUUCCGUCCGUGACUAUCCCCGAUAGUUGAAGUGCGCGUCGGGUAGUUAAAAGUAAAGUGUUUGUUUUAAAAGUAUAAGGUGUAUAUAGUUAAUAUGUGGUUUUUUCUUUAUAGAUCUUAAAGCUAGUUAAAACUUAAAACUAGUUAAAACUUAGAAGGCUAAUAGUACGGUUUUGUGAAUUAGUACGAUUUGUAGUACGGUUACUUCAAUAGAACCAUUCAACUAGAGGUUAAUU